UCUACGCAGAACCUCAGUAGCCCCGCCCCCCAGCCAAUCGGCGGCGAACACUGCAGACCACACCCCCUCUUCAUUCAGCCGUCCAAUCAGGGAGCUCGAGCUCGGUGGAAGUAGACUCCGGAUUGUCAUCCCAUUUCACCGGAAUGCUGCUGAUUUAUGUGGAUUUGUUUUAUUUCCCCUGCAUCGGCUGGCUCUGAAUCCAGUAUUCUUUCCACUAUAUCAGAAGGUAUGGUUUGACUUUGAUUUUAGGGCUGAUCCUCAAUUACUAUUUAUGGAUUAGUUUCAGCUUUUGGCCUGGGUGUACUGAGUCUCCUCCUUCCAUUCAGUCCAAUUCAAUAAGCAUUGAUUAAUCACCUGCUAUGUAUAAAGGACUUACUGUGGUAGGCACUAGGCUAAAAUGACAAAAAUGAAUGAUUUUGCCUGAGUCAGGGUGAGAAGGGGGGAGGCAGGAACAAGAUAACAUGUGCACAGAUAAGUAUAUAUACAGUGUAAUUUCAGAGGGAAAAGGACAUUAAGAACUAGGGAGAGCAGUAAAGGCUGCCCACAGAAGAUGGCACCUGAGAUGAGGAGGGAAUGCAUUCUGGGCAUUAAAGACAGUUCAUAUAAAGGUAGAGAAGGGGAAGAUGGUUUGUCAAGUUCAUGAGAACAGCCAGUAGGCUGGUUUGGCUGGAACAUAGAGUUUGUGAAGGGGCUUAAUACAUAAGAUAUAAGGGGCUUAAUAUUCAUAAGGCAGGUCAGCUGGAGCUAGAUUUUGGAGGGCUUUAAAUACCAGGGAUGAGUUCAUCUGGAAGAAAAAAAGGUUAAGAAUAUCAAGGGAAUUAAUGAAAA